rnacentral:rRNA from 1 species
CAACGCCGCGUGGGGGAUGAAGCGUUUUCGGAAGUGUUAAACCCCUUUCGGACCCGGAAGAAAGCCCGCAAGGGUUUCGACGGUACGGGUAUAAGAAGCCCCGGCUAACUACGUGC